GACGAACGCUGGCGGCGUGCCUAAUACAUGCAAGUUGAGCGCUGAAGGUUGGUACUUGUCCCAACUGGAUGAGCAGCGAACGGGUGAGUAACGCGUGGGGAAUCUGCCUUUGAGCGGGGGACAACAUUUGGAAACGAAUGCUAAUACCGCGUAAAAACUUUAAACACAAGUUUUAAGUUUGAAAGAUGCAAUUGCAUCACUCAAAGAUGAUCCCGCGUUGUAUUAGCUAGUUGGUGAGGUAAAGGCUCACCAAGGCGAUGAUACAUAGCCGACCUGAGAGGGUGAUCGGCCACAUUGGGACUGAGACACGGCCCAAACUCCUACGGGAGGCAGCAGUAGGGAAUCUUCGGCAAUGGACGAAAGUCUGACCGAGCAACGCCGCGUGAGUGAAGAAGGUUUUCGGAUCGUAAAACUCUGUUGGUAGAGAAGAACGUUGGUGAGAGUGGAAAGCUCGUCAAGUGACGGUAACUACCCAGAAAGGGACGGCUAACUACGUG
rnacentral:rRNA from 1 species